GACGAACGCUGGCGGCGUGCUUAACACAUGCAAGUCGAACGGAAAGGCCCUGCUUUUGUGGGGUGCUCGAGUGGCGAACGGGUGGGUAACACGUGGGUAACCUGCCCUUGACUUUGGGAUAACUUCAGGAAACUGGGGCUAAUACCGGAUAGGAGCUCCUGCUGCAUGGUGGGGGUUGGAAAGUUUCGGCGGUUGGGGAUGGACUCGCGGCUUAUCAGCUUGUUGGUGGGGUAGUGGCUUACCAAGGCUUUGACGGGUAGCCGGCCUGAGAGGGUGACCGGCCACAUUGGGACUGAGAUGCGGCCCGGACUCCUACUGGAGGCAGCAGGGGGGAAUAUUGCACAAUGGGCGGAAGCCUGAUGCAGCAACGCCGCGUGCGGGAUGACGGCCUUCGGGUUGUAAACCGCUUUCGCCUGUGACGAAGCGUGAGUGACGGUAAUGGGUAGAGAAGCACCGGCUAACUACGUG
rnacentral:rRNA from 1 species